rnacentral:SRP_RNA from 1 species
GCCAGGCAUGGUACUACAUGCCUGUAGUCCCAGCUACCUGGGAGACUAAAGCAGGAAAAUUGCUUGAGUCCAGGAGUUUGAGGCCACAGUGAACUAUGAACAUGCCACUGCACUCUAGCCUGGGCAACAGGAAAUAGAGUGAGACCCCAUCUCAAAAAAAAAAAAAAAAAAAAGUUCACCAUCAAUAUGUUGACCUCCCAGGAGCAGGAGACCACUAGGUUGCCUAAGGAGAGGUUAAUCGGCCCAAGUCAGAAAAAGAGCAGGCCAAAAAUCCCAUGCUGAUGUGUAGUGGGCUAACACUUGUGAAGCCACUGUGCUCUACCCUGGGCAAUAUAACAAGACCUCAUUUCUU